AACGAAGGUGGCGAGCGUUGUUCGGAAUCACUGGGCAUAAAGCGCACGUAGGCGGUGCCGUAAGUCGGAUGUGAAAUCCCUCGGCCUAACCGAGGAACUGCGUCCGAUACUGCGGUGCUUGAGGAUCAGAGGGGUGCAUGGAAUUUCCGGUGGAGCGGUGAAAUGCGUUGAUAUCGGAAGGAACUCCGGCGGCGAAAGCGAUGCACUGGCUGAUUUCUGACGCUGAGGUGCGAAAGCCAGGGGAGCAAACGGG
rnacentral:rRNA from 1 species